AAAAGAAUUCAUUAAACUAGCUCAUUUCAUUGUGAAAGUCUAGUGGAGACCAUAAAAUAACAAUUAUUUUUAGAUUAAGUUGGGCACGUUUUAAAGUGUUUGACUAAUAAGAAUUGUCAAGGUUACAAAAUAAAUUCAGCUCAAAGUGGAAACGUUUUGAUUUAUUUUUAUUGGCAAGAUGCGUUUCUUUUUGCAUUUAGCAUGUUUCGUAUAUUUAUAUCUGCAGGAUUCGCCAGAUGACCUUGAAUACAAUUUCGAUCCUAUUAAAGAAGCCAUAAUUGCUACUGGAGAUUUCUUGAUAUAUGCAGGUGAUAAAUUAUGGAAUGUUGAACUGCUGGGAGAGCUUGGAAGAAUUAAACCAUUUUAAGAAAAAAGAAGAAGAAUAAUUGGUUUUUAAUGGCAAAUUAACUUGGUGUUGCCUGGGAGAUAUUCAUUUCCGAUUAAUAACGGUGCAUUUUUCAAUUGCAUAAUAAAGAACAGUCCAUAAAAUAUCAAUUAUAUUGACAACAGCGUGAACCUAAUCCAAAUUUCUACGGGAAAAUAAAAUAUAUACAGCUGAAAUGCCAAGUUGUUUUUAUAUUUUGUCAAAGUCAUACGACAAAAUGGAUUUUCAGUUAAUUCUAUUCACAUUUCUGUUUAUAAUUUAUGUGGAAACAACUACAGCAGACUUAAAGGAACUCGAAUCCAUUGCCCAUAAUAUUGAAAACGCUAUAAAAAGUACUGGAAAUAUACUUCAAAAUAUUGGUAAUUUUUUGUGGAAAGCUGGAACGAUGGGAGAGACGUUUGCAGGAAUGCAAUUAGCUGGAGCAGAAUAACUAGAUGUUUUCUUAUUCGAUAAUUAACAGUCAAAAAUUUCAUUUUUAAUAACUCUUUUCUAUGGAGAACAGUCCAUUAAAUUUCAAUUAUAUUGACAACAGCGCGAAUCUAAUUCAAAUUCCUACGGUUAAUUGUAAUAUAUACAGCUUUAAAUCGAAAGAUUUUUCAUAUUUUGCAAAAUUCGUGCGACAAUAUGCGUUUCCACUUUAUUCUAUUUUUGUCUCUAUAUUUUCUGGUUUCAACUAGAGCAGAGGGCUAUCUCGAUUCCGUUACCAAUUUAUUUGGUAAUCCCAUAACUGGUGCUGGAAGUUUAGUUAAAAAAAUUGGCAAUUAUAUAUGGAAAGCUGGCACAGCGGGAGAGAUGUUAGCAGGAGCUCAAUUAGCUGGAACAGAAUAACUUGGCGUUUUCUGAAAGAUCUUUGUUAUAUUAGAAAUAGAAAUUUCUUUGUCAUCCUUUAAUUACACUCUUCUAUUGGUGAAUAGUCCAUAAAAUAUCAAUUAUAUUUACUACAAAGUGAAUCUAAUUCAAAUUCCUACGGUUAAUUGUAAUAUAUACAGCUUGAAAUGCCAAGAUUUAUCAUAUUUUGCAAAAUUCGUACGACAAUAUGCGUUUCCAUUUAAUAUUAUUCACAUUUUUGUCUCUAAUUUUUCUAGUUUCAACUAGAGCAGAGGGUUAUCUCGAUUGCGUUACCAAUUUAUUUGGUAAUCCCAUAACUAGUGCUGGAGAUUUAGUUAAAAAAAUUGGCGAUUAUGUGUGGAAGGCUGGAAUGGCGGGAGAGGUGUUAGCAGGAUCUCAAACACUUAAAACACAAUAACUUGGCGUUUUCUGAAAGAUUUUCGUUGAACUAGAAAUGGAUAUUUCUUUCUCUUCCUUUAAUUACACUCUUCUAUUGGUGAAUAGUCCAUUAAAUAUCAAUUAUAUUGACAACAGCGCGAAUCUAAUUCAAAUUCCUACGGUUAAUUGUAAUAUAUACAGCUUUAAAUCGAAAGAUUUUUCAUAUUUUGCAAAAUUCGUGCGACAAUAUGCGUUUCCACUUUAUUCUAUUUUUGUCUCUAUAUUUUCUGGUUUCAACUAGAGCAGAGGGUUAUCUCGAUUCCGUUACCAAUUUAUUUGGUAAUCUCAUAACUGGUGCUGGAAGUUUAGUUAAAAAAAUUGGCAGUUAUAUAUGGAAAGCUGGAUCGGCGGGAGAGAUGUUAGCAGGAGCUCAAUUAGCUGGAUCAGAAUAACUUGGCGUUUUCUGAAAGAUUUUCGUUGAACUAGAAAUGGAUAUUUCUUUCUCUAACUUUAAUUACACUCUUCUAUUAGUAAAUAGUCCAUGAAAUAUCAAUUAUAUUGUCUACAGACUAAGGUCAAUCCAAAUUUCUACGGUUAAAUGUUAUAUAAACAGCUUGAAAUGAAAAGAUCUUUUUUAUAUUUUGCAACAGUCUUACGACAAUAUGCGAUUCCAUUUAAUUUUAUUGACUGUUUUGUUUCUAAUUUAUCUGGAAUCAACUAGGGCACAGGGAAAUCGUCUCGAAAACGCAGCCGCUGCCAUUGAAAAUGCUGUAAACAAUGCUGGAAAUGCAUUUAAAUUUCUUGGCGACAAAUUGUGGAGAGCUGGAAUGCUGGGAGAGAUGUUGGCCGGACAUCAAUUAGCUCGAUACAAUAAUAAAACAGGAUGGAAUAAGGUUGAAAGUAAAUCAUAAAUAAAAAAGUCUAUGCAAACUCACCGAACCGAGUUUUAACUAUGAAACCGUUCAAAUUUCAAAAUCCCUGAACAAUUUGCUUCUUAAAAUGCUCGAUUUUCCCCCCAAAAAAGACAGAUUUACCCCAACAACAUUUUGAGUAAAAGUCUCAACUGUUUUUUAUUUGGCAUUGAUAUUUAAUUCAAUUUUUCCAACAAAGCCAUAUCAUUUAAAUUUAAAGUUUGCUCUGGGAUUAUAGAUUAAAUUUUAUACGAUUCCUACUUGAAAUGCCUCGUGACAUGUUCAACUGUGAAAUUUCACUUUAUAUUGGUUAUAAAAUCUUCUUUAAAAAAAGUCAAUGAAAUCUUAAUUAAUAUGGUUAUUAGUUUACAAUUUAAAUUUGCUACGCUCAAAUGUAAUAAAUACGCUUCAAGAAACAUCAGAUUGCUUUAUUAAAGAUUUGUAAAUCAAGAUGAAAUUUUGUCUACUGCAAUUUACAUUAUUGGGCUUAUUGCUUGUGCAAUUCACUAGAGCUGAGGAGGAUGGUCUUGCGGGGACAGUAGAAACCAUUGGAAAUGCCUUGAACGCCGGUGGAACUUUUUUCAAAGAUAUUGGCGAUAUAUUGAGUCAAUUUGGAAAGCUGGCAGAAGCUAUUAGAAGUCGCCAUGCGAAACCGCGCGAGCUAGUGUUUUUAAGAAGCCCACCCGAAACAACAAUUCUCCCACCAAAACCAACAACAAGAUCACAGACAUCAAGUACCCCACCCCCACCCCCAACAACUCCACCACCACCCCCGACAACUCCACCACCACCACCGACAACUCCACCACCACCACCGACAACUCCACCACCACCACCGACAACAAGUCUAAAGACAACUAACCCCCCAAGCCCCCCAACUAAGCCAACGACCUCUCCUAGCCCACCAACUAAAACAACAAGUCCCCCAAGCCCCUCACCCAAAAAAGUCCCCCCUACUCUACCAUCCAAGAAAACACUCCGCUCUAUCAGCCUGCAACCCAAGGCAAAACCCAAGGUAAAACACCUUGGCCCUAUGAUCAUUCCGCCCAAGGCAACACUCGCCCCUAUCAUCCUUGCACCCAAAACAACACUCCGCCUUAUCAGGCUGCAACCCACGGUAAUACCCAAGGUAAAACCCCUUGGCCCUGUGAUCCUUCCACCCAAGGCAACACUCCCCCCCGUCAUCAUUCCACUCAACGCAACACUCCCCCCUAAUAUCCUACCACUCAACGAAACUAACGCAUCCAAGCUUAAAGUAGUAGGAUUCAAGCCAUUGGUACACUUAAGUACAGGUCAUUAAUAAAUAAAUUGUCGCUUUCUUUCUAGAA